GAUCCUGGCUCAGGACGAACGCUGGCGGCGUGCCUAAUACAUGCAAGUAGAACGCUGAAGAGAGGAGCUUGCUCUUCUUGGAUGAGUUGCGAACGGGUGAGUAACGCGUAGGUAACCUGCCUUGUAGCGGGGGGAUAACUAUUGGAAACGAUAGCUAAUACCGCAUAACAAUGGAUGACCCAUGUCAUUUAUUUGUAAAGGGGCGAAAUAGCUCCACUACAAGAUGGACCUGCGUUGUA
rnacentral:rRNA from 1 species